rnacentral:rRNA from 1 species
GACGAACCGUGCGAACGUUAUUCGGAAUCACUGGGCUUAAAGGGUGCGUAGGCGGCUGUCUAAGUAGGGUGUGAAAGCCCCCGGCUCAACCGGGGAAUUGCGCCCUAAACUGGAUGGCUGGAGUGAGGCAGGGGUGUGUGGAACUUCCGGUGGAGCGGUGAAAUGUGUUGAUAUCGGAAGGAACGCCGGUGGCGAAAGCGACACACUGGGUCUCAACUGACGCUGAGGCACGAAAGCCAGGGGAGCAAACGGG